rnacentral:lncRNA from 1 species
UUGGGGAAUUUUUUCUUGAUUCACAUAAUGGAAGGGCAGACACGAAAAUUUCUGAACUAAAAGAUUGAUAUGUUCUCCGUCCGUGAUAAAAAAAAAAUCGGAGGUUAUGCAUUUUCUACAUCCAACUUUAGAUACUAUAUAUAAAAAAGAAGAUGUGGUAUUAUUGCCAAUGAGACAACUAUCCAGAAAAGACCAAAAUGACACAAACAUUAACAACUAUAGGUAACCGUAAGGCCUUCAACAAUG